rnacentral:rRNA from 1 species
CGCGUAGGCGGCUUGGCAAGUCUGACGUGAAAUGUACCGGUUCAACCGGGGCGCCGUGUCAGAAACUGCCAGGCUUGAGGUCGAGGGAGGAGAGUGGAAUUCCUGGUGUAGCGGUGAAAUGCGUAGAUAUCAGGAGGAACACCCGUGGCGAAGGCGGCUCUCUAUCUCGAAUCUGACGCUGAGGCGCGAAAGCUAGGGGAGCAAACG